rnacentral:rRNA from 1 species
UACGAAGGGGGCUAGCGUUGUUCGGAAUUACUGGGCGUAAAGCGCACGUAGGCGGGUCGUUUAAGUCAGGGGUGAAAUCCCGGAGCUCAACUCCGGAACUGCCUUUGAUACUGGCGAUCUUGAGAUCGGAAGAGGUGAGUGGAAUUCCCAGUGUAGAGGUGAAAUUCGUAGAUAUUGGGAAGAACACCAGUGGCGAAAGGCGGCUCACUGGUCCGAUACUGCGCUGAGGUGCGAAAGCGUGGGGAGCAAACAGGAUUGAGAA